AACGAACGCUGGCGGCGUGCCUAACACAUGCAAGUCGAACGGGGAAUAGCAAUAUUCCUAGUGGCGAACGGGUGAGUAACGCGUAGACAACCUGCCUUCUAGCCGGGGACAACGUUUCGAAAGAGACGCUAAUACCGGAUGAGGUGUCUUGGGUGCAUACCUGGGAUAAGAAAGGUGGCCUCUAUAUAUAAGCUACCGCUAGAAGAUGGGUCUGCGUCUGAUUAGCUAGUUGGUGAGGUAACGGCCCACCAAGGCGACGAUCAGUAGCCGGUCUGAGAGGAGGAACGGCCCAACUGGGACUGAGACAAGGCCCAGGAUACUACGGGAGGCAGCAGUGGGGAAUCUUCCGCAAUGGACGAAAGUCUGACGGAGCAACGCCGCGUGAGAGAAGAAGGUUUUCGGAUUGUAAAUCUCUGUCUUUUGGGACGAAUGUUAUCCAUGUAAAUAAUGUGGGUAAAUGACGGUACCAGAGGAGGAAGCCACGGCUAACUACGUGCCAGCCGCCGCAGUAA
rnacentral:rRNA from 1 species